rnacentral:lncRNA from 1 species
CAGGACAAAGACUGUAAUAAUCAAGAAGAUUCUGGAUGAACUUUGAAAUCAAAAAUCAAUGAUCGGCUCGAAGAUUUUCGACAUAAAAAGCAACCUGACCCAGAGGAGGAGAGUUCACCUGAUCAUUUGAACCAUGAGCAGAAAGCUGAUAUUACUCCAGAAUAUGAUAUUGUUCCCAGAGCCGUUCAACAUUAGGCCC